UCCGGGUUGGUCCCGGCGGUCCGGCCAGACAUAGUAACUGGCCGCGGGGGUUGCGCUCGUUGCGGGACUUAACCCAACACCUCACGGCACGAGCUGACGACAGCCGUGCAGCACCUGUGCGCGCUCCCUCGCGGGUCCCUCACCUUUCGGCUCGGUACCACGCGCAUGUCAAGCCUGGGUAAGGUUCUUCGCGUUGCAUCGAAUUAAACCACACGCUCCGCUGCUUGUGCGGGCCCCCGUCAAUUCCUUUGAGUUUUAGCCUUGCGGCCGUAGUCCCCAGGCGGGGCACUCACUGCGUUAGCGGCGGCACCGGGGGGGUCGAUACCCCCGACACCUAGUGCCCAUCGUUUACGGCGUGGACUAC
rnacentral:misc_RNA from 1 species